UGUUAAAAAUUCCAUCCAUUUCUACUAUUAAAAACUAGCGUGGCUAACAAAAUAACUAGACAUUUAUAUGUGACAUGUCAAGUGUACCUCAUGCUGACAUUCAGGGUCCAGUUUUAACAGUAAAAAAGGAUGGAAUUUUUAACA
rfam:Gossypium hirsutum cultivar TM-1 unplaced genomic scaffold scaffold2005.1, whole genome shotgun sequence